AUUGAACGCUGGCGGCAGGCCUAACACCUGCAAGUCGCGCGGCCCGGCGGACGGGUGAGUAAUGCCUAGUCAUCUGCCUGGUAGUGGGGGAUAACGUCCGGAAACGGGAGCUAAUACCGCAUACUAUCAGAUGAGCCUAGGUCGGAUUAGCUCGUUGGUGGGGUAAAGGCCUACCAAGGCGACGAUCCGUAACUGGUCUGAGAGGAUGCUCAUUCACACUGGAAAUGGGACACGGUCCAGAUGCCGACGGGAGGCAGCAGGGGGGAAUAUUGGACAAUGGGCGAAAGCCUGAUCCAGCCAUGCAGCGUGUGUGAAGAAGGGCUUCGGAUUGUAAAGCACUUUAAGUUGGGAGGCGUUACCAGCAGAAUAAGCACCGGCUAACGUCGUGCCAGCAGCCGCGGUAAUUC
rnacentral:rRNA from 1 species